rnacentral:misc_RNA from 1 species
CGCACAUUGCGCCCUAUGGUAUUCCGUAGGGCAUGCCUGUUCGAGCGUCAGUGCAACACUCAAGCCUAGCUUGGACUUGGAUCUCGCCGGAGACGGCGGAUCUUAAAAUCAUUGGCGGCGUCCGCUCGGCCCUAAGCGCAGUAACUCUUCUCGCUAUAGGGUCCUGGUGGGUGCUGGCCACGAACCCCCAACUUUCUAAGUUUGACCUCGGAUCAGGUAGGGAUACCCGCUGAACUUAA